UGGUGCCUUCGGGACUCUGACACAGGUGCUGCAUGGCUGUCGUCAGCUCKUGUCGWGAGAUGUUGGGUUAAGUCCCGUAACGAGCGCAACCCUUGUCCUUAGUUACCAGCACGUUAUGGUGGGCACUCUAAGGAGACUGCCGGUGACAAACCGGAGGAAGGUGGGGAUGACGUCAAGUCAUCAUGGCCCUUACGGCCUGGGCUACACACGUGCUACAAUGGUCGGUACAGAGGGUUGCCAAGCCGCGAGGUGGAGCUAAUCUCACAAAACCGAUCGUAGUCCGGAUCGCAGUCUGCAACUCGACUGCGUGAAGUCGGAAUCGCUAGUAAUCGCGAAUCAGAAUGUCGCGGUGAAUACGUUCCCGGGUCUUGUACACAC
rnacentral:rRNA from 1 species